rnacentral:lncRNA from 1 species
CUCAACCCUACAGAGAAAGGCUCCCUAUCUGAGCCUCUACUCAGCCCUAAGGCAAUAAAUUGCUCAUCAGCCCAUUACGGAUAUGAAACCACUUUACUCAGACCCCUAGUGGAAGUGUCUACCAAUCAAUCCUAGCCAGCUCUUCCCUCUCAUACACUAAUGCAGACUUAACACUGAUGGUUUUGCAAACUUUCAUGAAUUAUGGGCAGUUCUGUCCUCUGCUAAAAUGAAAGAAGUCAUUCUCCUUAAGGAAUAGUUCUUAAAUUUGAGAGGAACACAAACCCUUUGCCAAUCUAGCAUAAAAUACAGACUUCUCAGAAUCGUGUUAUUAAAUACAUAAAAUACAUAGGAUUAUGACAACAAAUGAUCUAUAUUGAAAUACAGGUAUAAAAAUAUUAAAACAAAUUCCUAGCUCCCUCCUCUCCCUCUCCCUCCUCUCCCUCUCCCUCUCCCUCUCCCCACGGUCUCCCUCUCCCUCUCUUUCCACGGUCUCCCCCUGAUGCCGAGCCAAAGCUGGACUGUACUGCUGCCAUCUCGGCUCACUGCAACCUCCCUGCCUGAUUCUCCUGCCUCAGCCUGCCGAGUGCCUGCGAUUGCAGGCGCGCGCCGCCACGCCUGACUGGUUCUCGUAUUUUUUUGGUGGAGACGGGGUUUCGCUGUGUUGGCCGGGCUGGUCUCCAGCUCCUAACCGCGAGUGAUCCGCCAGCCUCGGCCUCCCGAGGUGCCGGGAUGGCAGACGGAGUCUCGUUCACUCAGUGCUCAAUGGUGCCCAGGCUGGAGUGCAGUGGCGUGAUCUCGGCUCGCUACAACCUCCACCUCCCAGCUGCCUGCCUUGGCCCCGCAAAGUGCCGAGAUUGCAGCCUCUGCCCGGCCGCCACCCCGUCUGGGAAGUGAGGAGCGUCUCUGCCUGGCCGCCCAUCGUCUGGGAUGUGAGGAGCCUCUCUGCCUGGCUGCCCAGUCUGGAAAGUGAGGAGCGUCUCUGCCCGGCCGCCAUCCCAUCUAGGAAGUGAGGAGCGUCUCUGCCAGGCCGCCCAUCGUCUGAGAUGUGGGGAGCACCUCUGCCCUGCCACCCCGUCUGGGAUGUGAGGAGCGUCUCUGCCCGGCCGCCCCGUCUGAGAAGUGAGGAGACCCUCUGCCUGGCAACCGCCCCGUCUGAGAAGUGAGGAGCCCCUCCGCCCGGCAGCCACUCCGUCUGGGAAGUGAGGAGCGUCUCCGCCCAGCAGCCACCCCGUCUGGGAGGGAGGUGGGGGUCAGCCCCCCGCCCGGACAGCCGCCCCGUCUGGAAGGGAGGUGGGGGGGUUAGCCCACCCCCCGGCCAGCCGCCCCGUCCGGGAGGUGAGGGGCGCCUCUGCCCGGCCGCCCCUACUGGGAAGUGAGGAGUCCCUCUGCCCGGCCAGCCGCCCCGUCCGGGAAGGAGGUGGGGGGGUCAGCCCCCCGCCCGGCCAGCCGCCCUGUCCGGGAGGGAGGUUGGGGGGUCAGCCCCCCGCCCGGCCACCCGCCCCGUCCGGGAGGUGAGGGGCGCCUCUGCCCGGCCGCCCCUACUGGGAAGUGAGGAGCCCCUCUGCCCAGCCAGCCGCCCCGUCCGGGAAGGAUGUUGGGGGGUCAGCCCCCGCCCGGCCAGCCGCCCCAUCCGGGAGGUGAGGGGCACCUCUGCCCGGCUGCCCCUACUGGGAAGAGAGGAGCCCCUCUGCCCGGCCAGCCGCCCCAUCCGGGAGGGAGGUGGGGGGGUCAGCCCCCCGCCCGGCCAGCCGCCCCGUCUGCGAGGUGAGGGGCGCCUCUGCCCGGCCGCCCCUACUGGGAAGUGAGGAGCCCCUCUGCCCGGCCACCACCCCGUCUGGGAGGUGUACUCAACAGCUCAUUGAGAACGGGCCACGAUGACAAUGGCGGUUUUGUGGAAUAGAAAGGGGGGAAAGGUGGGGAAAAGAUUGAGAAAUCGGAUGGUUGCCAUGUCUGUGUAGAAAGAGGUAGACAUGGGAGACUUUUUAUUUUGUUCUGUACUAAGAAAAAUUCUUCUGCCUUGGGAUCCUGUUGAUCUGUGACCUUACCCCCAACCCUGUGCUCUCUGAAACAUGUGCUGUGUCCACUCAGGGUUGAAUGGAUUAAGGGUGGUGCAAGAUGUGCUUUGUUAAACAGAUGCUUGAAGGCAGCAUGCCCGUUAAGAGUCAUCACCACUCCCUAAUCUCAAGUACCCAGGGACACAAACACUGCGGAAGGCCGCAGGGUCCUCUGCCUAGGAAAACCAGAGACCUUUGUUCACUUGUUUAUCUGCUGACCUUCCCUCCACUAUUGUCCUGUGACCCUGCCAAAUCCCCCUCUGCGAGAAACACCCAAGAAUGAUCAAUAAAAAAAAAAAGAAAAGAAAAAGAAAAAAACAAAAACAAAUUCCUGACAUAGUAAUAUAUGUUCUUCAGUGGUGCGUUAAAAAUAAUAACUAAUGGCAAUUGUUGUCUAUAUUCAUAAUGCAAAGAAAUGCUAAA